GAUGAACGCUGGCGGCGUGCCUAAUACAUGCAAGUCGAGCGAACAGACGAGGAGCUUGCUCCUCUGACGUUAGCGGCGGACGGGCGAGUAACACGUGGAUAACCUACCUAUAAGACUGGGAUAACUUCGGGAAACCGGAGCUAAUAACGGAUAAUAUAUUGAACCGCAUGGCUCAAUAGUGAAAGACGGUUUUGCUGUCACUUAUAGACGGAUCCGCGCCUCAUUAGCUAGUUGGUAAAGUAACGGCUUACCAAGGCGACGAUGCGUAGCCGACCUGAGAGGGUGAUCGGCCACACUGGAACUGAGACACGGUCCAGACUCCUACGGGAGGCAGCAGUAGGGAAUCUUCCGCAAUGGGCGCAAGCCUGACGGAGCAACGCCGCGUGAGUGAUGAAGGUCUUCGGAUCGUAAAGCUCUGUUAUUAGGGAAGAACAAAUGUGUAAGUAACUAUGCACGUCUUGACGGUACCUAAUCAGAAAGCCACGGCUAACUACGUG
rnacentral:rRNA from 1 species